rnacentral:rRNA from 1 species
CGAACGCUGGCGGCAUGCCUAACACAUGCAAGUCGACCGAGACCUUCGGGUCUAGUGGCGCACGGGUGCGUAACGCGUGGGAACCUGCCCUUAGGUUCGGAAUAACUCCCCGAAAGGGGUGCUAAUACCGGAUAAUGUCUUCGGACCAAAGAUUUAUCGCCUUUGGAUGGGCCCGCGUUGGAUUAGCUAGUUGGUAGGGUAAAAGCCUACCAAGGCGACGAUCCAUAGCUGGUCUGAGAGGAUGAUCAGCCACACUGGGACUGAGGCACGGCCCAGACUCCUACGGGAGGCAGCAGUGGGGAAUAUUGGACAAUGGGCGAAAGCCUGAUCCAGCAAUGCCGCGUGAGUGAUGAAGGCCUUAGGGUUGUAAAGCUCUUUUACCCGGGAUGAUAAUGACAGUACCGGGAGAAUAAGCUCCGGCUAACUCCGUG